CUCCCAAACUGCCCAUCAUCUCCUGAGCACGGCGACUCCAUCAUUCAGUCUGAUGGCAGAGUCAAAGAGAAAGAGUUGGAGAUGGAGAGAGUUACAGAAAGAGAGCGAGAGAGAGAGAAGAGGCCCUUUAUUAAACCUGCUGCUAAUUGAGAUAGCACGAAAAUAAUGGGGAGUGACACUUUAAUGAAGACAUGCUACGUGUUACCACUUCUUCCUUCCUUCCCCUCCGCCACAGAGGAGGAGGAGGAGGUGCAAUGAAGAGAAUAAGGAACUGGGGAGGGACGAGGAGAGCAUAAAGAAAGAUCGAAGGAGGCUCGCUACCGCUGAUAGGGAAGGAACAGAGUGAAGAGGUGGUCAUCAGAAGGUGAUUGUGUUUACAAGGACAGACAGAUGGGAAAAGAUGAGGGAAGUCCUUCAAAGUGAGGACAUUUGGUUGCAACAGGUUCGUAUAGAGUUAGUACUAGUACAGAUGUCAUCUGUCUGUUCUGUUCUGACCUGAUCUGUGCUUUGUAAAAGUUAUUUUAUGAUCAAGUCUUAUUAAUUUACUAUUUUUGUGCAUUCUACCUUGAGCUACUUUGUCUAGUUCUUUUUUUAACUGUUGAUUUUCUAAAUUCCUUUCAACAAACACUGUAGAGCUAAAAAUUCAUGAAUUUAUGUUGUUGUGACUGUUUAUAACUAAAAUCACUCACAAAUCAGGUCCAAAAUUGAGAUGAAAGAUCAGCAGAUGAGAAAUGUAGAGAACAAUCUUUACAGUUUUGAGGUGUGGUUUAUUGCACUGUGGCAACAAAUGGCAAUUACAACAUGGUAGUAGAAGUUUAAACAUAGUAUAACAAGUCAGCAAAUUCACUGCCAGCCACACAGAAAUAUCUACAUAAAGUUUGCUAACAUUAGUCAACAUAAGCUCCUGGUCCAACCCCAAGUCAAAUGCAAUUUGUCUGUCAGUGGCCCACUGACGAUGUCAAGUGACAUAGUAUAAAGAGCAUGUGUAGGUGGUGGGGUGGAUGGAUGGCUCAAACAAACACAGGACUCUAACCCAGGAGAAUGCUGUACAUGUCCCAAAAACAAUUUCUUUGAAGCAGCGUAUGUUAUGUCAGCUAUGUAAUGUCACUUACAACCUUUUCCUAACCAAGUAGUUUUUGUGCCUAAACCUAACCCAAACUCAAACCAUUUCACACUGUUAACCAUGCAAGCUUUAUUUUGAAAGUUUUAGAAAUCCCUGAGAGCAUUAAAUUGGGCAUUGGUAUGUCUUUUUAAUGAAUUAAACUUUUCAUUUGCAAGAGGAAGAA